rnacentral:rRNA from 1 species
AUGGCAGCAUCGCAGAGUUCAAUAGCGAUGGUGCCGUCGAGGUGCACAGCAGAGACGCACACGGCGCGGGGCAAGGUUGCGUUCGAGAUUGCUGGCUACAGCCGUCUCAAGGGCCUAGGUAGAGGCAAAUGUCUCCGUUCUUCAGCAUUCUCCAUCGGCGGCUACGAAUGGUGCAUCCGCUACUACCCCGACGGAUGCCAAGGCGAGGCGGGUGACGGUUACGUCUCUGUUUUCGUCGUGCUCCUGACCAAGAACGCCGAGGUGAGGGCGCUCAACAACUGGAUGCUUGUGAAUGGGGUUAGUGGGCAGUCGAUUGUGGUGCUCUCGGGUAAAGCGCCACGAGUGUUCGACCGAAAAAUGCCAGCAUGGGGCGUACCAAAGUUCAUGAAGACAACUGCUGAAGUAGAGUCGGUGUACCUGCAGAACGAUCGUCUCCUGAUCGAGUGCGAAGUCAAUGUUAUCAAGGAAUCACUCGAUAUCCUUGUGCCGCCCUCUGACAUUCUGGAUAAUCUUGCAACCUUGCUAGAGGGGAAGAUAGGAGCAGACGUGACUUUCAAGGUUCAAGGGGAGGUCUUUUCCGCGCAUAAGAUUUUGCUCGCGAUGCGAUCGGCGGUCUUCAACGCGGAGUUCUAUGGUCCGAUGGGGGACAAAGGUGCACAGGACAUAGUUAUUGACGACAUGCAGCCUGCUGUUUUCAAGGCAUUUCUUUACUUCAUAUACACGGAUUCAAUGCCUUCCAUGGACGAUCUUGAGGAUGAUGAUAAAAGAGAAAUGGUUAAGCACUUACUCGUGGCUGCGGACAAGUAUGUGAUGGAAAGGAUGAAGAGGAUAUGUGAAGGGAUGCUAUGCAGGGUUCUUGAUGUUGAGACACUAGGGACCAUGUUAGCUCUAGCUGACCAGUAUCACUGCAGCAACCUCAAAGAUGCUUGCGUUGAAUUUAUGCUCUCUUCGGAUAGAAUGGAUGAUGUGAUCGCAAGCCAAGGGUAUUUACAACUGAAAAGAUCUUCUCCUGAUAUCAUUGUAGAGGUAUUGGAGAGAGCGGCUAAGUCCCGCAGAAUUUAG